GCUCUUGAAAGAUAAUAGUAAUCUAUU
rnacentral:tRNA from 2 species